rnacentral:lncRNA from 1 species
GCCUGGUUUGAGCCUGACCAGGUAGGUACUUAAGCGCGGGCACGACGGCUGUGGGCCAGUGCCUCUCGUGCCGCGGCCAAGAUCGGACACACGCCCUCCUCGCUCAGCCCAAGCGCCAAGCCACUCUCGCAUAGCCUAGACCAGGGAUAGAAGUAUUGGAAUAUACUUAUUUUCGUUGGUUCAGAUUUUGGGCUAUCUAACUGCCAAGAUGCGUGUGUCUAUCCUCCUGGUGGUCGCAAUCAUGAUGGUGUGUCUGGUGGUGGGCUCGGCGGCUCCGCAGAGGCUCUUCUCGUGGUCGAAGUUCUUCAAGAGGAGGAACAGGCUCAGGCCCAGGGGCGGCAGAGGUCGCGGAUGCACGGACGCAGGCCUCGGAAUCGUGUCCUGCCGUUGAUCUGUUGCUCUCGUGGAAUCACCUCGGGUUAGCCACCAGGAUAACCCGCGAUGACUCCGUUCUUCGGGUGCCAAGAGGUCGCAGCCGGACAUGAGGUCCCGGAUUGGCUGUCGACCUCCCAAGGGACCUGGCCCUCCCGAGGACCUUCCUGUCGCAACCCCGUUUGUGGUGUACUUGUGGCUCAGUGACGCCGACUUGGCACACCGCGUCAGGAGCCUAGGAGGAUGCCGGGCAAGGGCCGUCCCUAUUCACAUCUGCCACAAACAAAAGGAAGCGAUCAAGGUCACCCUGAGCCUCGCGUAACCUCUAGAUGCGGCCAGAUGUGCACCGUCUUUAUCCCUUGUGUAUUGCUACUCUGAUUCUAACAUGUCUGAGUCGGCGUGAGAUGUGGAUGAGUUCUUGCUCUCGCCGGCCGGUGUAAGUCUAACUUUUUUGUCCAUCCCUUGCGUCAAAUUUACGUCUCAUUUAGAAACUAUAACUCAUUCAUCUAGGUCAGGUUUUACCUAGAAAGGUGUAAUUCUUUUUUAUAAUGCUUUUAUGAUUAUUUCAUUUUCUAUAAAAUCAAAUUGUCUUUUUUUGUAUAAAUAUUUGUUGUAACAAUUAAAAAUUGGAAUUAAAUACUCUUUGCAUCAUA